UAAUAGAUUGGUGAUGAGGCUCACCACAAUGCAUUUAUGCUGAUGGCUUCUACUUUAAG
rnacentral:ncRNA from 2 species